rnacentral:lncRNA from 1 species
AAAAAAAAAGAAAACUUGAGUUGCAGUGGUUAUUGAAACACCUAGUACAAAACAUUCAUAUGUGAGGAUAAAACGCAAGGUUCUAGAAAAAUAUACGAAUUUUGACCUUUACCUUGUACCAUGUGACCGAACGGUACCGGACGGCGGGCUUUGAUUUCGCCGCACAGCUCAAGACUGCGUCCUCACCACGGAUGAAACGAAUCUCGUGCCGGACUCCCUCCGUCACAGCUGAAAAUAAAACACCUCAUGUCAACCUGAAUCAACAGAGUCUGCGUGAUGAUACUCUCAGGAAUACGGGUGGAGUCUUACCUAAAAUUACAAGACAGGCGACGAAUUCCGAGAAGUAAGGCAUGGUUCUGACUGUAGCUUGAUGGCCACGCGUUGAAUUUAUACGACUCUUGCUCUUUGUAGCUCUGGUUUGAGGAAGUGGGGAAUUCCCUAGCACGAGCGAGCAAGAGUGGUUGAUGUCAUCGAUACACAGUAGGGAAGUAGAGGUGGUAAACUUGUAAACACUGUGAAAUUCACCUAGACGAGUCAGCGCGAUGCUCUGGAUUAAAGAUGUUUUUGUUCGUUUUCUAUCGCUAUCGGUUUUUGUUGUGCCUGUGUUCACUACAGUCACAGAGACGACACAAAACUACACUUGUACGGAAGAGCUGCACCAUGUAGAGUCUGAAUAUGCAAUGAAGAACCCAGACUGUGAUCAAUAUUGGUCUGCUCAGGACCAUUCUAUUGCAACAUUUCUUAAAUUCAUCCCAGAGUGUCAUAAUCCAUGCAAAGAGUUGUUCGUUGGGAGAAUCGUUCUGACUGACUGUGUCAAUAUCACCCUGGCUGUAAUAUGCACAAGAGUGAGUCG